rnacentral:rRNA from 1 species
CCUACGGGAGGCUGCAGUGGGGAAUAUUGCACAAUGGGGGAAACCCUGAUGCAGCGACGCCGCGUGAGUGAAGAAGUACUUCGGUAUGUAAAGCUCUAUCAGCAGGGAAGAAAAUGACGGUACCUGAGUAAGAAGCCCCGGCUAACUACGUGCCAGCAGCCGCGGUAAUACGUAGGGGGCAAGCGUUAUCCGGAUUUACUGGGUGUAAAGGGAGCGUAGACGGCAGUGCAAGUCAGGAGUGAAAGGCGGGGGCUCAACCCCCGGACUGCUCUGGAAACUGUAUGGCUGGAGUGCAGGAGAGGUAAGUGGAAUUCCUAGUGUAGCGGUGAAAUGCGUAGAUAUUAGGAGGAACACCAGUGGCGAAGGCGGUUUACUGGACUGUAACUGACGUUGAGGCUCGAAAGCGUGGGGAGCAAACAGGAUUAGAUACCCCGGUAGUC